GACAAACGCUGGCGGCGUGCUUCACACAUGCACGUAGAACGGAAAGGUCCUGCUCUUGUGGUGUACUCGAGUGGCGAACGGGUGAGUAACACGUGAGUACCCUGCCCUUGACUAUGGGAUAACUUCAGGAAACUGGGGCUAUUACCGGUUAGGAGCUCCUGCUGCUUGUUGGGGGCAGGAAAGUUUCGGCGGUUGGGGAUGGACUCGCGGCUUAUCAGCUUGCUGGUGGGGUAGUGGCUUACCAAGGCUUUGACGGGUAUCCGGCCUGAGAGGGUGACCGGCCACAUUGGGACUGAAAUACGGCCCAGACUCCUACGGGAGGCAGCAGUGGGGAAGAUUGCACAAUGGGCGGAAGCCGGAUGCAGCCACGCCGCGUGCGGGAUGACGGCCUUCGGGUUGUAAACCGCUUUCGCCGGUGACGAAGCGGGAGUGACGGUAAUGGGUAAAGAAGCACCGGCUAACUACGUG
rnacentral:rRNA from 1 species